GGGACAUCCAUGUGGCGACAUGGCUGGUAUUAUCUCCGUGUUCAAUCUGGUCAAGCAGAUGAGGGGCCUUCAUUUACUGCCGACAUAGAUGAGGUUCUGAUCAAGAAGGUGAUGCAACGCCCAUGCUCAACCUGGAGGAAGGAGGUUCUCCGGGAGCCAGCAAUUCCAGACUUCCAGAACAGAUGGCACUUUUUGAUGCCAGCGAGAUCAAUUUGGAAUUCAUGUAAAUUGCCACUGUACCUCUGACCUCAAUUCUUUGGUGAACUGGACUAUCGGGCAAGUGGCCUUAUCCGGAUCUUCUGUACCGAAG